CCUACGGGAGGCAGCAGUGGGGAAUAUUGGACAAUGGGGGGAACCCUGAUCCAGCGACGCCGCGUGAGUGAAGAAGUAUUUCGGUAUGUAAAGCUCUAUCAGCAGGGAAGAAAGAAAUGACGGUACCUGACUAAGAAGCCCCGGCUAACUACGUGCCAGCAGCCGCGGUAAUACGUAGGGGGCAAGCGUUAUCCGGAUUUACUGGGGGUAAAGGGGGCGUAGACGGCGAUGCAAGUCUGAAGUGAAAGGCGGGGGCCCAACCCCCGGACUGCUUUGGAAACUGGAUGGCUGGAGUGCAGGAGAGGUAAGUGGAAUUCCUGGUGUAGCGGUGAAAUGCGUAGAUAUUAGGAGGAACACCAGUGGCGAAGGCGGCUUACUGGCCUGUAACUGACGUUGAGGCUCGAAAGCGUGGGGAGCAAACAGGAUUAGAUACCCUUGUAGUC
rnacentral:rRNA from 1 species